CCCUUAGAUGUUCUGGGCAGCACGCGCGCUACAAUGGUCUUCGCAAACGGAUGCAUUCUCGAAGGAGAAUGCCAAUCUUGGAAUCUAUGCCUUGGUCGGGACAGUUGCUUGCAAUUUUUCGACUCGAACCAGGAAUUCCUUGUAAUCGUGAUUCAUCACAUCACGAUGAAUACGUCCCUGCCCUUUGUACACACCGCCCGUCGCUCCUACCGAUCGACGAGUUAGGUGAAUUGUUUUGAUCGAUAAGAUUUGACUAUGGUCAACUCUCGUUGUGAAAUUCUGUGAAUCUGACUGUUUAGAGGAAGGAAAAGUCGUAACA
rnacentral:rRNA from 1 species